GAUCCCUCUUAUUAUAAAACGCGGUAUCAAAUAAGUAUCGGCUUUUGUACUACCUUUAAUCCACCUUUAAGUACGACCUUGAAAAAACGUUAUUACAAAACGCAGUUUAUCGCAAGUCCUAUUACUAUCUGUAGUACAAAAGAUAAACCAUCGAGCCCCCUAGUUUAACUGCAGUACUUAGUCGACAAACGUCAAAUUCCGACAUUAUUUACUUUUGAGGUUAUUUGUUUUGUGAUGAAAAAAACGAAAGUGGAUAUAAAUAUGUGUGAUUUGGAAUACUUGGAUGUGUUAGAAUACUAUUGAGAGUGUCCGGGGACCCAACAGAAUGCGUCAUCGACAAAAUCUCUUCAAAUUACCUGACGACAAUUUUCGAUAUAAAUAUCGAUUUACGUUUUUCGAAAUAAUAGUCAAUUGAAUGCAUGAUGAUAAUCCAGGAUGAUCCUAUGAUGCUCAACUGGGCUCGCCAUAAAAUUCAAGACUAUUUUGGCGUUUUGCACGCCGUAUCUCUGCCAGUAAUAUGCAAUGUUUGUAAAAGACUGGAAGCUUGCUAAAA